AAAGAGAUGGGGCUGAGGCCACCGGCUUGCAAGGGACCCUGCCUGCAGCUUCCAGAGCCCAGCGGCUGGGCCAUGCGGAGAGGAACGGACUGGCUGGGACCUGGCAUGGGUCCAGUCCUGCCACCACUUUGCUCCUGGACAGGGUCAUCUGUGCCUCUUUUCAUCCGGGCAAAUAAGAUUCGACGAUGCAGGAAUCUCUGGGACUUUGCUCCUAGGACUGCCCGGGAAUCUUGACCCAUCGCUAAGUAAGAUGGUGUUUAUAAACACAGGGGAACCUCUCAAAGGAACAAAAAGCAUUUAUUCACUCAACCUGGGACUUCAACUUUAUGGAAGAAGUAAGAGAAGAAGAGGAAGAAGAGGAAGAAGAAGCGGUGGCGGCGGAGGAGGAAGAGGAGGAGGAGGAAGAGAAGAGGAAGAAGAAGAAGGAGGAGGAGUAGCAGGAGGAGAAGAAGAGGAGGAGGAGGAGGAAUGCAUUUGUAUUCCGUCUGGAAAAGAGCUUUCCCUAGGCAAAGCUAAGACACACAGCUGCAGCCUUGACCGAUGACAGCUGUCCAUUUCAGGUCCCACUCAUAGAAAUAAUGACCCGGGCACAGGCAGCAAUUGUAGCAGACGCUAUUCCUUUUUUCUGUGUGUGCAUCAUUUUCGUUUGGUUUGUUUCUUACUCUUUGGUAGGAAUUUCUGCUUGAUGCUCCCACAGGACCUCGGUUCAGCUGGAUCAGUGGAAAACCUGUACAACUUGUCCCUUUAUAAAAACUCCCAGUUACAGUUUUUCUUUGAUAUUUACUUUGGAAUACCUAGAGACUCUUCCCACCCACAUCCCCCUUUCCAAAGACAACAUGGUCGUGUUGGAAACAAAAUUCGGGAGACCAGAGGACUUUGACUGUGGGAAGAAAUGUGGUAGUUUAGGAACCUGCGACUCCUUCUUCCCAGCCCUCCAGACCCUCCAAAGAGCUGUUGACAAGAGCCUUAGAUGAAGGCCCUGAGCUGUAGCCUAGCGCAAUUCUCCUUUGCCUAUCUGAAGAGCAGGACAGGCAGGAUUAGCGAGGCAAACAAAACCUGAAGGACUUCUUAAUAGCCAGACAUCUGAGGCCCUUCAGAACCACUUUGAAGAUCGGGGGUGAUACUGGCUGAGGCUCCAGGUUUAUCAUUUGAUUUGUGACUUUCAGCUCAGGCAGGAGACAGAGAGGAGAGUUCACCAGAGACAAGUCACUUCUGUUGAAUGAGUCACCAUCGCCACACAGCUGCUUGUUCCAGAGCAGCUAUGGUGGGGACAUUGUCUAGGAUCCCAGGAAAAGUGAAAACAUUGACCGGAAUGUUUCCAGCACAAUGAAUGUGAUAACAGAGAAUGAAUAAGUGGAACAGCUCCAACACAGCCAAGAAGAUGUUGCUUUAUGAGAGCUGACUUUCCCCAGAGCAGUGCGCUCCCAUCACAAGGAGGAUUAAUUCAUACAUUUCAAGGCCUAAAUGACAGACGAUAAAUGUGUGUAAUUAUGUAAGUGAGCCCACUGUGUUAGUAUGCAAAGGUGCCCACUUUUCCUGCAUCAGAUAUUGACCCUCUUCCAUGUCAAAAUUCAGAGAGUGACAGCUGCCAAUCUCACCCCAGCAUCCUCACCUGCUAACCAGGUAUCUGUACUCACUCAGCGUGCCUGCUUGGCGAAUCUCAGCUGAGUCAGUUACAACAGGUCCCCUUUCAGACAGGUGAUGAUUAGAAGGUUUGUGACUCAAAGAGCAUGACGUGUUCCCUUUCCUCUGCAGCAGGAAGAUACUCCCUGAUAUCGUAGCAGUGACUCAGCCUGCCAAGACAAUCCAUUUCAUUCUUGUACCAUUCUUGCAUAAAUCACAGUGCAGAAAGCUUGGCAAGAUAAUUUUUAAAUUUUAAACUCGACCAGGAGAACUGUUGAGAAAUAAGACUUCAUAUUGAAGUACGUUUCCUCUCCUCGGAAGCUUUCAAGAGGCGAUGCUGGGUGAAGGGUUACUCCAAGUUCUGGAGGCUGAAAGUCCAAGAUCACGAUGCUGGCAGAAUCGGUGUCUGGUGGGAGCCUGUUUCCUGGCUCGUUGAUGGUGCCUUCUCCUUGGGUCCUCACCCGGUGAAAGAGUGCUUGUUUUCAGCCCAGUGUUCCUGCUGUUUCAUGGUGAUUGGCAGAAGCUGCACUUCUGAGAGAUGGGAGGAGGGAUUCUUCUUCCUCUCUCAUCCCAUCACCUGCUCCAGAAGGCAGCUGGAGCAAGAUGCGUAUGGUGACAAGACUGUUAGGAGGAAGGAGAAAUUCUAGAAAACAAUGUGACAUCUUCAAAGAGCCAGGAAUGCUGGUGGUGUGGCUCAGUCCCAAGUCCCAAGUUCAAAUCUGAAGACCUAAGAACCAGAAGCUCCCAACGUGAGGGCAGGAGAAGAUGGAUGUCCUGGCUACAACACAGAAAGAAAAUUCACCCUUCCGCUACAUUUUUUGUACUGUUUGGGCUCUGAAAGUGAAACUGCCUUUGCAAAAUUAUGACUGAGACAGUGAAAAAGAUCCAACUUAACCAAUUUCAUCUUGCCUCUAACCUCCAAGCUGUCCUUGUUCAUUCUUGUCAUAGGCUGAACUAACUUUGGGAGAAACUUAGUUCAUAGUUUACAGUUUAAAACAAAGACAAUAACAGCCCUUUCCCAAAACAAACCUCCUUCUUGCCUGGGAACUAGGCUACUAACAUUAGCCACAAGAUUAGUAAUUACGGUUUAGGAGUCAUGCAGCUGGAGGCUACGAGAUUCUGAACCUCUUUAAACUGCUUCUAAAAUCCGUGCUUGAGAUGUUUUGUAGACCCUGCACUUGAUGAAGCAGCUGGCACCACACAGAUGGAUAAACUGGCCCAUCUGAUCUUGUGACCCCCACCCAGGAGCUAACUCAGCCCAAGAAGACAGUGAUGCUCCAUGAUUUCAUCUCCAACCCAACCAAUCAGCACUCCCCAACUCACUGCCCCUCCCCACCCACCAAAUUAUCUUCAAAAACUCUGAUCUCCAAAUGUUCGGGGAGACUGAUUUGAGUAAUAAUAAAACUCCAGCUUCCACACAGCUGGCUCUGUGUGAACUACUCUUUCUCCAUUGCAUUUCCCCUGUCUUGAUAAAUCGGUUCUGUCUAAGCAGCGAACAAGGUGAACCCGCUGGGAGGUUACAAAAGAACUGGAUUAUGCCCACAUUGGCGAGGGUGGGUCUUCUUUACCUCCAUUCACCAAUUCAAAAAUCAAUCCCAUCAAGUCAAAUGAAAUGCAAAUCUCUUCCAAAAACACACCUGGGAAUGGACUUUUACCAGCUAUCUGGGCAUCCCUUUGCCCAGUCAAGUUGACAUAAAAUUAACUAUCAAAAAAGUCUUUCUGAAAAGUGGAUUAGCCGGGCACAGUGGCUCACACCUGUAAUCCCAGCACUUUGGGAGGCCGACGUGGGCAGAUCGCAAGGUCAGGAGAUCGAGACCAACCUGACUGACACGGGGAAACCCUGUUUCUACUAAAAAUACAAAAAAUUAGCUAGGUGUGUUGUUGGGUGCCUAUAGUCCCAGCUACUCGGGAGGCUGAGGCAGGAGAAUGACCUGAACCGGGGAGGUGGAGCUUGCAGUGAGCCGAGGUCGUGCCACUGCAGUCCAGCCUGGGGCACCUGGGGCAACAGAGUGAGACUCCAUCUCAAAAAAAAAAAAAAAAGAAAGAAAAGUGGAUUAAAGAUCUUAAUUUUACCAAUCAAGUAAAAAUAUACAUUGCAAUAUAAAAUAUUAUUUUGUGAAUCUUUUUCUGAAGAUUUAAAAAUUAUCCAAUAAAUAUGUUUAAUCUAGAUUUUAUUAUAACAAAAACCACUAUGUCUGCUGAUUGGUCAAAUUCAAGACCUGUACAAUAAGGAUCACUAAAAUAUGAGCUGGCGGAGGACAGGGUUUUGGCUGCAUUCUUACAGCUGUAUCUGUGGCACCACGGACAGGUUUGAUUUCAGUGGGUGACUUGGCACUUAGUAAACACAUUCGCUGACUGAGUUGAAUACUUAAUUAUGUGUCAGCCUCUGGAUUUAACACACACUCUCUUGCCCAAAUUUCACAACUGCCCUAUGUAAUAGACAUUACUCUGCAUUCCUAAUACUGAGAAAACAGAGGUAUUAAGGGCUUGAGUAACUUGCUGCAAUUCUCCAGUUAGUGAGUGAUAAAGUCAGAAUGCGAAUCUUUACCUAAAUGCCUCCCUUGAUGACCAACCUGUGAAACAGCUACUGAUAUCUCAUGUGUACUGAAGAUGAGGUUUCCUGGCUCAGCUGAUAAGUCAAGUGUUUUUGGUAGGGACCUACACAAUGGGAUGAUUCAGCUUUUAUGGACUCUGCUCCUUUAGUCUAUUCUGAAGGGUUAUAUAAUGGAUUUUUCUCUUUUACUAAUGUGUAUCAUUUUAUUAGUGUUUGAAGUCUUGUAAAAAGUAAUAUCUGAAGGAUGUAAGACAGCAAGUGAGAAAGAAACAGCUCAGAAGAGACUGAGUAAUGCUGAGUAAUGUUACCUGAACUUCCUGCUCUGCUGGGGUUCCUCUCAUACCAUAUGAGUGGGUAAAGGGUGAAACGAAAAUCUUAUCUCAACAUCCUUCCCCUGUGGAUGACAAACUUUGAUAUUUAUUUUAUCAUCGAUAUCAGUGAGUCCAUAUUUAUAAAGCGAGGAGCUCUUACAGGAAAGCAUUUGUCAAAUACCUAAUUACAAAAUAUAUUGACCUUCAUAUUCUAAGUCAAGUGAUAUAUUUUGUAUCAUUUUCUGCAGAAUUAUGAUAAAGCACAGUGUGUAUAAAGUCAAGUUACCCAUUAUUCUAGCACUGUUUAGUGUUUAUAUGACACAUGCCAAACAUGAGAAUAACCCCCGUUUGAAAAUGUAUUUUUUUGGUUACUUACAGCUACCUUAUUUUUUUCUUCUUCUUUUUUUUUUUUUUUCUUUGAGAUGGAGUCUUGCUCUGUCACCCAGGUUGGAGUGCAGUGGCACGAUCUAGGCUCACUGCAAGCUCUGCCUCCCGGGUUCACUCCAUUCUCCUGCCUCAGCCUCCCGAGGAGCUGGGACUACAGGCAUCCGCCGCCACGCCCGGC
rnacentral:lncRNA from 1 species